GGUAUGUACUAGCCUGCCGAUUCCUCCUUCUUGUAGAACCGUAAUGCCAUUAAUUUGGUGUUGCGGGGAAACAGGACUGUUACUUUGAAUAAAUUAGAGUGUUUAAAGCAGGCUAGCGCCUGAAUACAUUAGCAUGGAAUAAUGAAAUAGGACGUUCGAACCUAUUUUGUUGGUUUCUAGGAUUGACGUAAUGAUUAAUGGGGAUAGUUGGGGGCAUUAGUAUUCAAUUGUCAGAGGUGAAAUUCUUGGAUUUAUUGAAGACUGACUACUGCGAAAGCAUUUGCCAAGGAUGUUUUCAUUAAUCAAGAACGAAAGUUAGGGGAUCGAAGACGAUCAGAUACCGUCGUAGUCUUAACCAUAAACUAUGCCGACUAGGGAUCGGAUGAUGUUGAUUUUUUAAUGACUCAUUCGGCGCCUUACG
rnacentral:rRNA from 1 species